GGGCCCGCACAAGCGGAGGAGCAUGUGGUUUAAUUCGAUGAUACGCGAGGAACCUUACCAAGGCUUAAAUGUAAUAUGACCGGUUGAGAGAUCAACCUUUUUUCGAACAGAUUACAAGGUGCUGCAUGGUUGUCGUCAGCUCGUGCCGUGAGGUGUCGGGUUAAGUCCCAUAACGAGCGCAACCCCUAUUUUUAGUUACCAGCGAGUAAUGUCGGGAACUCUAGAAAAACUGCCUGUGCAAACAGAGAGGAAGGUGGGGAUGACGUCAAAUCAUCACGGCCCUUAUGUCUUGGGCUACACACGUGCUACAAUGGUUACUACAAUGUGAUGCCAUCUGGUGACAGAGAGCUAAUCAAUAAAGGUAAUCUCAGUUCGGAUCGGAGUCUGCAACUCGACUCUGUGAAGUUGGAUUCGCUAGUAAUCGUAUAUC
rnacentral:rRNA from 1 species